UGGGGAAUCUUGCACAAUGGGGGCAACCCUGAUGCAGCGACGCCGCGUGAGCGAUGAAGCCCUUCGGGGCGUAAAGCUCUUUCGACCGGAACGAUAAUGACGGUACCGGGAGAAGAAGCUGCGGCUAACUACGUGCCAGCAGCCGCGGUAAUACGUAGGCAGCAAGCGUUGUUCGGAGUUACUGGGCGUAAAGAGUGCGUAGGUGGUUUUCUAAGUUCGGUGUGAAAUCUCCCGGCUUAACUGGGAGGGUGCGCCGAAGACUGGGAAGCUGGAGUGUGGGAAAGGCAGGCGGAAUGCCGGGUGUAGCGGUGAAAUGCGUAGAUAUCAGGAGGAACACCGGCGGUGUAGACGGCUUGCUAGACCAUAACUGACGCUGAGGCACGAAAGCGUGGGUAGCAAACA
rnacentral:rRNA from 1 species